CUCUCUCUCUCUCUCUCUCUCUCUCUCUCUCUCUCUCUCUCUCCAUUCGAUUUUUUUUUUCUUUUUUGGUAAUAAUACUCUCCCUUUGAGUUGCCUCCUUUAUAUCUAUCUAUUUGGGUGUUGGAGUCGGUCAUGGUAUUUUAAUCCGUCAGUCCAUCACGGCUUUGGAGGAAAGUUUUUUUUUGGUGAGGAAAGUUCAGUUGUGAUGAAUGAUUCGACUCCAAUACUCUAUGACUGUGUGAGUGAGUGACUUCUUCAGUGAGUCGUAAGUAAGGUCCAUCCAAGUUAUUCCAAACUUAAAUCUUUUUCUUGUUGAGGCCACAAGCCGUAAGAGAUUGAAAAUUUGUGGAUCUGUCCAAAGCAGUAGUAAUCGACAUCCAAGGUUGACGAUGAAGCUUUUAUCGUGACUUGAUGAUGGUGUGAUUUCACUGACUCAUUAUUAUUAUUAUAAUAAUAAUGGAACUGCUACGCGGUUUCUGGGUCCCAAGGGCAACUGAAAUGGUUACAUAUAUGGUUCGUGGAUCCCAGGGAUAAAUGAGAUUAGACUCCACAGUGUCCACACAAAGAAGAUAAAUUUGCUGUCUACGUAUCAAGGUUGUUUAGAAAUGUAGAUUUCGUCUGUCUCCAUAAAACACUUUUCUUCCAGAAGUAGAUCCAGUAGUGUUUUCAAUAAAAAUCUCUGCGUUUGCGUUUCUAGGGGUGCAUGAGAAUUUCGAGGGCAUAUGUAUAUCAUAUAAAAAAGGAGGUAGGGAGUCCUAGGGAUGUGAAUGCCAUUACUUAAAAUUGAAAAACGCGUUUUCUUUAAUGCACUAGGAGUCUAGGACCGGUCCCCGUGCAACGCAUGGGCGACUUGUGAGAAUCCUUUAAUUUCUGGGUGCGCCAGGCUGGUGCAACGCAUGGGUGACGGAGACUGGAUCAGCUCCUCACGUGAGGACUGGUGGGAAUAGAUCUGGACCCUUCAUGAGUCUCGUAUGCCAAAUAACUGCCAAAUAACGGGUGGGGACAGGUCUGGACUCUGGACUCUCUAUUGGGUGUGGAUCUGGGUCCCUAUUUGGGGGAGCAAAUCCAAAUCCAAAUCCUGGUGAUGCAAUCAGAAUCCCUAACGGCAAAGCUACCGUAGUGAAUCCAAGGAUUUAAUAAUGGAAAAUUCACAGUACUACCCCUGGAUAAGAAUGUAAUGUCACUAUCAUAAAAACAUCACUUUUGUUUUCCUGAAAACGACUUCCAUAGAACCAAGUAAAACCACUGGGCUCUAAAGUAAAUCUAUCUUUUUUUCUCUUGGAUUCAGCCGUCAAAGACAUGGGUGUGGGAGAAAGAAUCCCCAGCGCACUUGGUGAUGUGAUUCUUAUCUAAACUUUUAUUAAUGAAUGGGUAGAGUUUUCCUACAAUCUAUGGUGAAGAGGAAUCUCUACAUUUCUCCCGUUAGUACCAUUAGGGGUUGUUACGAGUGGACUGGUGAAAGAAAACGCUGCCUCCGUUUGCAGAUUUGGGAGUUUUCUUCGCUCCUUAAGAUGAACCUGUAACUUGGGGAUGGUUGAACUUGAACCCCACUACAAAGAGAGAGAGGGAGGGAGAGGAAACAACCUCUCUGCAAAGCAACAAGGUAAGGCAGCAUAAUUGUAACCCCUCCCUAGACUCUGCAGUGGUGGAAACUUCGUGCAUUAAGUCAAUAUGCCCUUUUUGUUUUGAAGAUCCUGGCAUUUCUCUUAAGCUGCAACUCAUCAUUUAGAUGCAACAGAUGAGUAAGGUCGAAGGAGAAGUUUUAUUCAUCCUAAUAAUUACUAAACCUCAUAAUGAGGCUUAAUCUUCCCUUCAAUAUUCUGAUCCGCCAUGGACAAAUCAGAUCUCACAAUCAAACUAUGAAGGUCCAUAUCACGACAAGAAGGUACACUUUGGCCUCCAGAAACAGAGUUGACGCAUCAUCAUUCAAAUUCAAACUACCUGAAGGAGCGUGGACCCAACAAGUCUCACAUAAGCUUGAACUAACUUUAAGAUGAUCAGUGGAUGAAAUAGGUGGAUUCUCUCACAGGUAGACUGAAUGUUGACGCAGUUGAAGCUCCUUCUCUUGGGACAACUGAGAAAAGUUGCCUCUUCUGGGGCCUUACAAAUUCUGCAAAUAUCUCCCACCGAAUGACACUGAUAGGAUAUCUACUGAGAGGCCACAAUGUAAAAUCAAGAUUAGCUGCAAUUGAUUUGCCUGCAUUUGAAAUAGGGGCAGAACUUCUCUGGUGUGGCAUGGUGUGUUGUCAUUGGAUGAACACUUGCAGUCUUGAUUUUUAAUGGGCCGAAGAAUUUGGGUUCUCCAAAGCAUAUAAUUCAACCAUAAGCGAACCAAAAUCUCCACCCUUUUUAGGUUUGCACUCAAGGAAGAAGAGGACGCCUUUGGGGUAAACUUUUUCUCUCAGAUGCCAUAAUUUCAAAGCAAAAAGGAGAGCAAAUUUGGGAUUUCUCAAGGAGAGAGUAGAGAGAUAUCCUUGCUAGUACAUAAGUGAAGAAAUUCUACAUUAUUUAUGUCAAGGAGAGGUAUUUAGUCUUUGCAAGAGAAUAAUAAAAGAAAAAAGAGCCUAAGAUUUUAGUGGGAACAGUUUCAUAUUCAA